UGGGGAAUAUUGCACAAUGGGCGCAAGCCUGAUGCAGCCAUGCCGCGUGUAUGAAGAAGGCCUUCGGGUUGUAAAGUACUUUCAGCGAGGAGGAAGGCGAUGCGGUUAAUAACCGUGUCGAUUGACGUUACUCGCAGAAGAAGCACCGGCUAACUCCGUGCCAGCAGCCGCGGUAAUACGGAGGGUGCAAGCGUUAAUCGGAAUUACUGGGCGUAAAGCGCACGCAGGCGGUCUGUCAAGUCGGAUGUGAAAUCCCCGGGCUCAACCUGGGAACUGCAUUCGAAACUGGCAGGCUUGAGUCUUGUAGAGGGGGGUAGAAUUCCAGGUGUAGCGGUGAAAUGCGUAGAGAUCUGGAGGAAUACCGGUGGCGAAGGCGGCCCCCUGGACAAAGACUGACGCUCAGGUACGAAAGCGUGGGGAGCAAACA
rnacentral:rRNA from 1 species